rnacentral:rRNA from 1 species
UACGUAGGGUGCAAGCGUUGUCCGGAAUUAUUGGGCGUAAAGAGCUCGUAGGCGGUUUGUCACGUCGGAUGUGAAAACCCGAGGCUUAACCUCGGGCCUGCAUUCGAUACGGGCUGACUAGAGUUCGGUAGGGGAGACUGGAAUUCCUGGUGUAGCGGUGAAACGCGCAGAUAUCAGGAGGAACACCGGUGGCGAAGGCGGGUCUCUGGGCCGAUACUGACGCUGAGGAGCGAAAGCGUGGGGAGCGAACAGG